UCGGCGCGUUUAUUUCUUGAUAAAAAUCAAAGAAAAAGUUUCAGACUAACGGCAAAACAUCAGCACUCACUAGUCCUAACGCAUAAAAUACAGGUGUCCAUUUAUCUUUAAGGGAUUUGAGUGGUUUCAGGCCACUUCAACAUUUCCUGCGGCUCACCUGCAUUUCCCGUACAGAUUUGCCUCUUUUUCACCCUCAGACUACCUGAAAGGGCAGUUGGGACUAACACGUAAGUAAAGUAAGUUCUGUGCAAUUCCACACUACAAAUCUGAAAAAUGACAAGUGCCAAAAGUUUGGACCAUGCAUGUCUGAUCAGUCAACAUGAUGUAGUCAGGAGGUAUUGGAUGCUUACCAAUACAUGAUAUUGAGAGAAUAAGUCAAGUUUGUUUUUCAUGCUUGUUUUUUCCUUGUCAGUGCCACCUCCAAACAGCAGCUAUUGUAACUGUGUGUGACAACCAAACAUGUAUUUAUAUUCUGCACCAAAUCACAGUGUGAAAGCCCCCAUAGAGAGAAGAACGCUUCCUGGAAUUUAGUCAUAUUUGGAGUAGUCAAGGUAUACGUUCGCUUUUACAGAGGAGAUAGUCGGUUAGUUAAACAAUGGGAGGGCAUUAAAACAUGCCAACACAGCAGUAUUAGUCAACAGUCUUAAGUCAAUACACCCCACUGGGCGUCCUGCUUUUCUACAAACACAAGCAAUCGCUUUAAAAGACCCAGAACUAGAUAGAAACAUCAAUUACAGUAAAUUACAUCCAAACAUUGUGUAACUCUUCAGUUUGUUUAAUCUCCAAAGCUGUCUGUGGCGUACUGGAUGAAAGCAAAGCAAAGCAGAGUAUAAGAUAACAGUCAAUACCACUAAGAUGAAUUGCACUGUUGAGCUCUGGUGUUGCAGAUUCAGGGAGUUUCUUUUUAACACUUGUUUUGAUUCCAGGAAUCCUUUUGAAAGCAGAAGUGCACUCUCAGGAACGGGUUAGGAAAACUUUGCAGAAGUCCUGUGACUUUUAAAAUAUGCUGCAGUAAAUAACAUGUUUUAUGUUGGCAUUGGGACUUUUCUGAAGUACGAAUGUUUACAUAUUUCCAAAAGCAUAUCUAAGAUACAUCAAGUGCUUUAAGUUUUUAUCAAAGACAGAAGUUGCUCAAUUUUGCCUUAAGACAAAUUUAAAUAAAAGUGGAAAUGAAAGGGUAUUUCCAGCUUAGUUAGAGCUAAAUUUCAUUUUUUUAACAAACAAACAAGUCCAUAAUCCACUCUUAUUAAACAGUUCAUUGAGAUUUCUUUUACCAUGGUUGAAUAAUUGGGUUGGUUAUUGGUUGCUGGUGACAGAUUUGGCUGUUUUGGUGAAAAUUUUGGUAGAGGUUAAGGGUUGUGUGUGUGUUUGUGGGGUGGGGGUUACAGAAAAUGAAAGACAAAUGCAAGUAGUGCCCACUCAGCUAUUUUCCCAGUCAAGAUCAAAGGCGAGCCGGACUGGCCGCACCGCGGGAAACUUGAGAUGGGUCCUUCCUUUGUUUGCUGUUGCUAGGAGACCUGCAGAAAGCUGAAAGUGGGGUACAACAUCAAAACCAUUUCCAGUAUAAAUUUUUAAGACAGCUGUGUAUUUGUGGACUGGCCUCUGCAUUUGCUGUGCACACUGGAGCACUAAUGAUUCAUUUCAGUUUGUUCUACAACAGCAUUAAAGGAAAAACAAGUAAAUGGAAACUUGUCAUCCACUUGCACAUUUUUGUUGAUUUGACAGAAGCACGGCCAAGUUGAUUUGUAAAAACAAAGAAGAGCAAAAAUAAGGUUUGGAAUUUAGAUUUCUUUCUAACCCAAUGUAAAUACGGCUUAAAUGAUUUAUUAGUGCUGCUCUGACUUUUAAACAAAACUAAUUAUGAUACUGUUAUGUAUUAAUGGACCCCGGGACAGUAAGGGUGGCUAGACAUGUGUCACACAGAGCUCAUUACAUAUCAUUAGUUCAACACUUCAAUAACGUCUCCACCUGCUGAGCAGCAGAUAAUGACUUGGCCCCUGAUAUUUGCUGGACUAUUGUCUACUAAGCAAAGCACCACUGGGAGAAUAGAUCCACAGGCUUAUGAGGGGCAUGGUAGCCGAUAAAACUGCACAACAAUGGGGAGUACACACCUUCUUGAUUUGAUGUAAGCUGGAGUGCAUGCAGAGGAAGACAGAGGAAAGAUUCAUGUCUGAUUUUUGAAUUUAUUUCUGGAUUUGUUUGUGGAAUUGAGGAAUAAGGGUUAACCCACUGUACAAACAAUCAUGGAAACCCAAAUGCAAGACACGUGUAUAAUGCUACAUUAUGCUUGAAUUGUAUAAAUAUGUAAUGUUUACAUGUAAUUUCUGUAGUUCUAGUAGAGUUACAAUGUUUUUUAGGUGUAUUUCAACAGAAAAAUACAUCUUUUUUUAUAUGUGGCUUUUUUCAAAAAGAGAAAGUCAUUUUUUGUAUUCACUGUUUUACGCUCACACAUGCUACAGGAAACAGUUCUUCUAGUCCCACAUUUGCUGUGGUAACCCUCUGCACCCAACUGGACACACAGAAGCCACAAUUGCCAAAAAGAAUUGAGUGGCAGGUCAGCACAGUAGCCAGGAUGCUCCCCCCACAAACAGUUCACCUCUGUCUCAGUCGAUGACUGCUGCCUGAACUCUGCACCCCCACUGAGACAAUAAAACGGCUGGAUGACUACAGGAGUAGCAGAAAGGCCAACGGUUUAUUACUCAAGUGAUGCAAAGCAAUACAGCUCGUGUGAAGACAAAGAUUUAAAACUGCAAGAGAUGGAAUUCUCUCAGUCCGAGGUCAGAAGGCCAAAGUUACCUUUUCAGCUCCCUGACGGCAGAUGGGGAGACACAAGCUGGAGGACACCAACAACAUCCCCGAAGCUUCAGACAAAGGAGACAUCCUGCUGGAUCAUUGUCAGAUCAAUCAAUAAAUGCUUACUCUGUAUUUAAAAGACAAGGGAGGAUCUUACUCUGGUUUUUCAUUGUCCCAUUUCAAUUCUUACUAUACCUUCUCUGUGUUGCUUACUAUAUAACUGCUGUUUUUAACAGAGCUAUGCUAUGUGAUUGCUAAAAAUGUUUCCAUUCUAUAAAAUAAUCAUGUAUAACGAUUAACUGAGAGGGGAAAAGUAAGUUUAAAGCAGGAUAUGACCUAAAAUAUUGUUUUAACCCAAAAACAAUCAGACAAGAACAUCCAUGUAAAAUAUAUUUACUGUUUGCAUUUUAACUUGUUGUCUAAUUGUUUAAUUAAUAAAACAUUUUUUUCCUAAAACAGCUGCUGUUUAAAAAUCAAAAACUCCAGCUCAUGCGCUCAAAUCUACAACAAGAGCUUUAAGAAGCUGCAUUAUGAUAUAAGAGUUGUUUUGAGCCUUGAUCUUUUCACACUGUGAGGGUCCCUUUUCAUUCUAACGGCAUUAAAGAGACAGAAAGAGCGGCACACAGAGGGGUGAGGCUGACGUCACAGUCCCAGAGUCACCCGCCGUGUGUUCGGCGUCUCCAAGUAAAGACUUAUCUGGAAAGAAGUUUGGACGGGACAAUGUGGGUGGACAGGGCGUGAAACUACUAUCAUCAUCAGUUCUGAAUGAAAAAAAGAAAACAUAUCUUCCACAAAAAAGAAGGCUCAUUCCAAUUCAGCUGCGUUGUUAGGACAACGAGAACCAUCCCUCAGAUGAUUAGUUCCACUUCAAAAGAAUUUACUUUCCCCGAUGGAAACGUCCCCCUUUUGUGUCCUUACACAGGGUUUUCUCAGCCCAAAGGAAGAAUCGUAUGUUUAGUCAGCCUGUUUAUUAUUCCUUCUGUUCACACUACAAUUGUAUUAAAUAAAUAGAGUACUACCAACAAAGGCCUAUUAGCCCAUAAACAUGUCCGAAGACACACCAAAAAAAGACUAAAUCACAGGAAUUAAGAUACUUUGGUAAAGGCAGGAACCACAUCACCCAAGGCAUCUGCUGACAUCAUUAAACAUGAAUGUUCUGCUGGAUUUGUUUGUUGUAACUUGAAUUUAUUUGUCUGCAUUUUCAUUCAAAGAGGCAAAUCUUUUACUAACACACUCAAACGAUCACUUCAAAUUUCAAAAUGAUGAUCAGGCAGACAGCACUUUGAUGAGAAGGAAAAAAAAGGCAAUUAGAGGUGUUAAUCAAAUAAUUUUAGGCACAAAUUACUCGCAGCCUAAUCAGUGAUGUGCAGUAACAGGAGUGGAUCAAAGAGUUACAGCUGUGAGCUUGAUCAUUUACUUUGGCUUCUUCGGAUUUGAAGGCACAAUUUGUAUUAAAAAAAAAA